AUAAAGCCCCUCCCCUUUCUUCGUCACAUCCUCUUUCAAGUUGGUGUCCUCGCUUUAGUGACACAUCUCCACAAGAUGAGAGCAAAGUGGAGGAAGAAGCGUAUGCGCAGGCUGAAGCGUAAAAGGCGAAAGAUGAGGCAGAGGUCUAAGUAGACUGGCCCAUCCAUUCCCUACAGCUGUGAUCUCCAAGCCCCCUCUGGUGACUGAAGUCUGCAGUCCAUGAUGUGCCAAGAGCUGAACGUGGUAGUCUGAAGCAAACGUUGCAAUGGUGUAAAGGACAGAUCCCGGCUACCCAGUGUUCUACUCUGCAAAUGGCUGCUGGCUGACAACUACUGGAGAAUGGCAAGGAAGACCUGAAUUGAAUCUUCAGUUUUUUAAGUCUGGCCUUGUAACAUCUGCCCAGCUGAUUUGUUGUAAAGACCAUAAUAAAUCUUUGGUUUACUAAA